rnacentral:rRNA from 1 species
AGCAGCCAGGAAUCUUGGGCAAUGGGCGAAAGCCUGACCCAGCAACACCGUGUGGGUGACGAAGGCCUUAGGGUCGUAAAGCCCUGUUGAUAGGGACGAAGGGCGAAGGGUUAAUAGCCCCUAGCUUGACGGUACCUUUCGAGGAAGCCCCGGCUAACUACGUGCCAGCAGCCGCGGUAAUACGUAGGGGGCGAGCGUUGUCCGGAAUUAUUGGGCGUAAAGAGCGUGUAGGCGGUUCGGUAAGUCUGCUGUGAAAUCCUGGGGCUCAACCCUGGGCGUGCAGCGGAUACUGCCGGGCUAGAGGGUGGUAGAGGCGAGUGGAAUUCCGAGUGUAGCGGUGAAAUGCGCAGAUAUUCGGAGGAACACCAGUAGCGAAGGCGGCUCGCUGGGGCACACCUGACGCUGAGA